rnacentral:rRNA from 1 species
AGCGAACGCUGGCGGCAGGCCUAACACAUGCAAGUCGAACGAACCCUUCGGGGUUAGUGGCGGACGGGUGAGUAACACGUGGGAACGUGCCUUUAGGUUCGGAAUAACUCAGGGAAACUUGUGCUAAUACCGAAUGUGCCCUUCGGGGGAAAGAUUUAUCGCCUUUAGAGCGGCCCGCGUCUGAUUAGCUAGUUGGUGAGGUAAUGGCUCACCAAGGCUACGAUCAGUAGCUGGUCUGAGAGGCUGUUCGGCCACAUUGGGACUGAGACACGGCCCAACCUCCUACGGGAGGCAGCAGUGGGGAACUUUGCGCAAUGGGCGAAAGCCUGACGCAGCCAUGCCGCGUGAAUGAUGAAGGUCUUAGGAUUGUAAAAUUCUUUCACCGGGGACGAUAAUGACGGUACCCGGAGAAGAAGCCCCGGCUAACUUCGUGCCAGCCGCCGCCGUAAUAC